AUGACAUGGAGAGUUGUGGGGUUCUUGUUUGGCACCGAGUUAUGCCCUGAUAACAUAUGGCAGGUGUAUGCGUGGUGAUAUGCUUUUUUCCCCGGUGGAGAGGUCUUUUAUACAGCCGACAUUGCAACAAUUUGCUGGGCGAUAUGGUCCUGUCGUAAUAGAGUUACAUUUGAACAUAUUCCCCUCAAGUCUCCUUUUGAAUGCAUCUUCUCUGCUUGUGCUCUUCUCUGUUACUGGGAAGGUAUGAUGAAACAGGAGGAUGCGGUGGACCUGAGGGCUGGGGGGAUCAACAACGCUUCUCGUCUGAUGAGGAUCAGUGCUGCUGUAUACCAAGAUGAGGGGGGCUGCUGA
rnacentral:rRNA from 1 species